rnacentral:rRNA from 1 species
CUAAGGGGACGUGCCGGUCGGACAAACCGGAGGAAGGCGGGGAGUGACGUCAAGUCAUCAUGGCCCUUAUGGGCUGGGCUACACACGUGCUACAAUGGCCGGUACAGAGGGUUGCCAAGCCGCGAGGUGGAGCUAAUCCCACAAAGCCGGUCGUAGUCCGGAUUGCAGUCUGCAACUCGACUGCAUGAAGUCGGAAUCGCUAGUAAUCGCGGAUCAGCAUGCCGCGGUGAAUACGUUCCCGGGCCUU